GCUGCUCCAGCAGAUGUAGGGCCAGCGCCCGAAGUCCUGGACUGGACUCUGCAGCCAACUGGAACUGGAUUUAGUCUGUCACUAGGCCUCAAUUCCCAAGGAGGACUCAGAAGGUCCUCUCCUAAUGUUGGCCAUAAGGAAAAGGGACGAGAUCCUCGUGAUCUCCCACUUUUAUAUGAAGUAUUCACGUGAAUGGAAUGUUAUACACAGUUGGUCAGUUUCUUGGUCACCAGUUUCUCGUUGCCCCUCUCACAAGAUGUCCAUCCAUGCUUAUCAAUAACUGUGCAUUCCAUUGCUAUGUUUACCAAAACAUGUAUCUGGUUCUCCAGGAAAAUGCAGCUAAUAUGAAGGCUUUAGCUGACAGGCAAAUUCACUAAAAGAGAAACUUGUUUUUAACAAAACCAGGACACUUACUGAGAAUUCGUAAGAAAUGGUCAUCUUGCCAGUAUAAUAGGCUCAGGCAGGAUCUCUCAGCAAAGCAUAUUUUAUUAACGAUUUUGCAAAACUGGUUGUCCUAUCUAGUGGUAAGCACACAGAACAGGACAAAAAACCCCUGCUUAUAUCCCCCCCGAAUCCGCAAAUUCUCUCCCCUGUUCCCCAUUCAUUGGCUACUGAAGGGUUUACAGACUAUUCAACGCUUCCGAGAUGCCCUGCCUCAGUUUACCUGUCUCACUAAUCUAAUUCUAAAAACCCCCUCCCCUUAUUUAUUUAUUUCCAUUGAAGGUAUGUUUUUUUGGUUCUCUGGCUAACCUUUCCCCUAGCUUAAUUUGUAACCACAGGAAUCGGUUUGCAUUCUGAGAUUAGUGCUGAAACUAAGAAAUAAACUUAACAGCAAAGUCAAUUAUAAUGUUAAGCAGGCAUUCUUUAUUAGCAGCGCUGGAGUAGCACUGGGGAUUAUCCACCAUAAGUGCUCCAAUGACUGGACACUCUUGCCUUGUUUAUAUUCACACAAUUAUUACAUUUUCAUUACAAUUUUUGGAAAUUUUUAACAUGCAAUACAUCUAUAUUGAUAGAUAAUUGCAUAGAGUAUGUGUAGUUAUUUCAUGGUCUUUGCUGCCAUCUAGCAUACAUUCACAGGUACUGCAGCCUCUUGCAGGAGCUUCUGAGGGUCUCUUCUUGUGUCUGCUGAUCGACCUCUCCACACUUGUAGCUCUCUGCACAAGCUCAAUUAGUACACACAUAAAUAAUUGAUUAGUAACUUACUUACAAUACAUCUAUUAAUAUCUAGUUAAAUAUAAGCUAAGCACCCUGCUUCUACACAAUGUAUUACUUAAUCUUCUGUCUCCAUCUUGUCAUACAGGAGGAUCUAAAAUUUGAAAAAUAUCCCCUCAUUUUGCAGGUGGUUAAGCAGCAUUUAUCAUGUCAUUGGUAAAUGAUGGGUACAUCUUUGUAACUUAUUCACAGUAUACAUUAAUUUAGCAGCUUCUCUUCAGUGCAAAGAAACUUUAUUUUACAAUCAGGAUCUGAUAGCUGGAUAUCCCUCAGCCCCCACCCUCUGGGGUCAGGCCUCAGAUCCCUAGUUGCAAAAACAACAUUCCUCCUUCAGUGGCUCCUUACAAUUUCAUCCUCUCAUUUUUUACUUUUGUUGGUUUUGCGUUCUCUUAUGAUAUAUUUCCAUAGGUGGCUUCAAGCCUAGACAGCAUUUUCACAUUUUUUCUUCAGGAUUUAGGUAUACGCUACUGCUCCAUUCUUCCUGUUCUUCUAGCAACAUCAUUUUAUCAGAGUAUGGCAGUGGCUCUAAAAGCAUUUGCUUUGAUAGAGCUGUCUCGAUAAGGUGUUGAACAAGUCCCCAGACACACAGUAUCCUAUUGCAGUUAGCACUCCUGCUACUACGAUUUAAGAAGUAAAAAUAGAUUCUAUCAUUCCUUUCCAUUUUCCAGACCAAGAUUCUAACCAUCCUAUGAGCUAUCUGUCCUUGAAUUCUCAGACAGUUCUUCCUCUAAAGUUGUGAGUCCUUGCAAUACUUUGGUUAUAGUGCUGUCGGGGGCAGUACUGUUUGAGAUAAAGGUACAAUGACUAAAUCCUAACAUUGCACAUACACCCCCUUUUUCUGCUAACAUCAUAUCUAGGACCAUCCUGUAAUAAGUGAUGGUCAAAAUUUUUAAUGUUGAACAAAUCGAGUAGGAUUCAAUUGUAUUAUGCAUAUUAUUGUAAGCAGUAACUGUGCUUGUGCGAGUUUGAUUAUGUUUUGUAGAACCUUGUAGUAGUAGUUAAAGACAAUGCCAUAAAUAACAGGACUACCAGGUGGUGCCAUAAAUAACAGGACUACCGGAUGGUGUCAUAGAUAACAGGACUCCCGGAUGGUGCCACAGAUAAUAGGACUCCCAGAUGGUGUUACAGAUAACAAAGCGCUCGGAUGUUGCAACAGAUAACAAAAGUUCCAGAGGCGGAAAUUCCCAGCACGUAAACGAACGCAUAACGUAUAUAAGCACAUACGAAAGGUUGAUUUGGGGUGCCUGUUGGUGGAACUGAGCUUCCCCUGGUCACCUAGCGCUGUUUUGCCUAAUUACCGCUUGCUAAAUAAAAUCGAUUGAUUGACGCAGAAUCGAUUUAUUGGCUCUUAUUUAUAACAAAUUUUGGUGCCGUGACUCGGAUUAAGGAUCUCUGGGAGGGACUCUUAAACUUCAGGGAGGCGCCCCGUCCCGUUUUCAGACGGCCCUGGAGUGGACAGAGGAUUGCCCUGAAACCUUAACCUCCGAACCCUAAAUUUAGGUAAUUAGGCAAAAGAAUUGAACCCCUUAAACCUUUGUGCACGAAGAACCGGACGAAGACCCCAGGGAGGAUAUCACAGUCUGCACCGCGGAAAGAGGAUGGACACACGCUAAUCGAGUAAAAGGUCCUAUACUGCACACAGACUGGGAAGUCACUGGGAAACUGGAUGAGUUGAAGCUGACCUUCAAGAGGAAACAGACACGUGACGCAUAGCCCUGGAUACUAGGCUUUUUAUGGACAAUUGUAAGGAAUUACAUAAGUCGCACAUCGCAUGUCCUGUAUGUAAGCAAUGCAAUCCGUGGGUAUGUCGUGUGUGUCACAGGUGCGGGAUACAGCAGUGAAAAAAAGUUUCCUUAUGUUGAACGAUGGUGUAAUGAGUGUUGGAAAAAAAAAAAAACCUUAGAUACCAUUAGGAUAUUAAUAAUCACUGAUAAGUCCAGACAUUUGGGAAAUAACCAAGAGGAUGUGUAAGAAGCGUUUUGGUAAGAAAAGAUACAGGAAGUGUUCCAAACCCUGUGAGGAUUCGGGACAGUGGCCAAACCCUUGUAUUUGAAAAUAGCCCUAUUGGGUUCAAUAUUGGAAAGUGGGUUGUGACAGAACAAGGAGAGAAUUCAGGAGGCAGUCCCCUGAAGACUACAACUGCUGCCGAGAAGAUAACUUAUCCGGCUACUCUGAAGCAACAGAGUAGGCCCAGGGCAAGGCAGAGGGGUAUCCUUGUGGGGAUUGGCAAGUGCCUCCGAAGACUUCUAAAAUAAAGCAGCUCCUUAAGCAGAACAACCCUCAACAAAAUGAACCUCCACUGGCUGAUUUUCAGCCAGCCAGGGGCCGGGUUGCUCUCCCUAAUCCUCCUUACCUUACCGGUAAUAAUAGCAAUAAAGCAGGGGAGUUCUCACCAACCUUUUAAAUGGACCCUCUAUCGAUGGGAGGACCAAACGAUAAUACAACAACAGACCACAUCAGGGUCACCUUCUUUUACUGUAACCUUAUGCCAAUUAGUUCAGAUUGAGCCAUGCCUUAACAAAAUGGGGUUUUAUAUGUGCCCCAGCACAGGGCCCUCGUAUUGUAAUACCCCAGGACACUAUUACUGCUCUUACUGGGGGUGUGAAAUGAUUGCCUCAAGCUGGCCAAUUCCUCCGGCAAAUACUGAUAAGUUCUUAAAGGUUGGAUGGGGACCUGUAGGAUGCAUUCCUCCUUCGAACCAAGGCCGCCGACUAAAAGUCGGUUAUCCUCGCAACCGAAACGAGCGGGACAGUGAUGGCGAGUAUGAAUAUAUAUUCCUUAACAUAACAAACCCUGAACAUAGUGGAUGGUUUGUUAGAAAAACCUGGGGAAUGCGAUAUUAUCGACCGGGUGCUGAUAGAGGAAGCAUGUUUCUCAUAAAGAAAGAAGAAGUUAAACCGACCCCUCUAGGUAGGGAGACAAAGACAGUAGAGAAGGAGAAUAUAAUAGUAAUAGAGGAAACUGUCACUGAAGCCUUGAAAUCUCUGAAUAUUGAAGCCCCGGAAUCUUUGAAUCCUCUAUGGGGAAUUAUUCUGGCUGCUUAUCAAACUCUAAACUAUACUCAACCCAACUUAACCAUGGGUUGCUGGUUGUGUUAUAAUGUUAAUCCACCCUUUUAUGAAGCUAUAUGGGAUAAUCGUCGGUAUACCAUAAACAAGGAGUCUAUGCCUAUUCAAUGUCCCUGGGAAAAGCAGAAAAGAGGGAUAACUAUGCAACAUGUAACUGGCAUAGGGACUUGUACAGGUAAAGUACCAAAUUCCAAGAGACCACUUUGUGGGAAUAUCAUACCAAGCCUUAAUAAAACCACAGGAUAUAUUAUUCCCCCGAAUAGAACAAAAUGGAUAUGUUCCAGGACGGGACUUACUCCAUGUGUGUCUUUAAAAGUGUUUAACAGUUCCCGAGAGUAUUGCAUGUCAGUUACUAUCAUUCCAAGGAUAUUAUAUCAUCAAGAAGAUGUGAUGUAUCCUAAAUCGAUUUAUUGGACUAGUUAAAAACCGUGUAGAGCGGGUACACCUUAUGCUGCUACAGAAACAUGGAACUGAUGAAGAAGCUGAAAUGACCUUACUAGCCCGAAAAGCGGUAACUCGAUUUGAUCAACAAAUAAAUGAGUAAAAAAAAAAAAAAA